rnacentral:rRNA from 1 species
AGCGAACGCUGGCGGCAGGCCUAACACAUGCAAGUCGAACGAAGUCUUCGGACUUAGUGGCGGACGGGUGAGUAACACGUGGGAACGUGCCUUUAGGUUCGGAAUAACUCAGGGAAACUUGUGCUAAUACCGAAUGUGCCCUUCGGGGGAAAGAUUUAUCGCCUUUAGAGCGGCCCGCGUCUGAUUAGCUAGUUGGUGAGGUAAAGGCUCACCAAGGCUACGAUCAGUAGCUGGUCUGAGAGGAUGACCAGCCACAUUGGGACUGAGACACGGCUCAAACUCCUACGGGAGGCAGCAGUGGGGAAUCUUGCGCAAUGGGCGAAAGCCUGACGCAGCCAUGCCGCGUGGAUGAUGAAGGUCUUAGGAUUGUAAAAUCCUUUCACCGGUGAAGAUAAUGACUGUAGCCGGAGAAGAAGCCCCGGCUAACUACGUGCCAGCCGCCGCGGUAACAC